UAAUGCCUAGGAAUCUGCCUGGUAGUGGGGGAUAACGUUCCGAAAGGAACGCUAAUACCGCGUACGUCCUACGGGAGAAAGCAGGGGACCUUCGGGCCUUGCGCUAUCAGAUGAGCCUAGGUCGGAUUAGCUAGUUGGUGAGGUAAUGGCUCACCAAGGCGACGAUCCGUAACUGGUCUGAGAGGAUGAUCAGUCACACUGGAACUGAGACACGGUCCAGACUCCUACGGGAGGCAGCAGUGGGGAAUAUUGGACAAUGGGCGAAAGCCUGAUCCAGCCAUGCCGCGUGUGUGAAGAAGGUCUUCGGAUUGUAAAGCACUUUAAGUUGGGAGGAAGGGCAGUAAGUUAAUACCUUGCUGUUUGACGUUACCGACAGA
rnacentral:rRNA from 1 species